CAGCCGCCGCGGUAAUACGUAGGGUGCGAGCGUUAAUCGGAAUUACUGGGCGUAAAGCGUGCACAGGCGGUUAUAUAAGACAGAUGUGAAAUCCCCGGGCUCAACCUGGGACCUGCAUUUGUGACUGUAUAGCUAGAGUACGGUAGAGGGGGAUGGAAUUCCGCGUGUAGCAGUGAAAUGCGUAGAUAUGCGGAGGAACGCCGAUGGCGAAGGCAAUCCCCUGGACCUGUACUGACGCUCAUGCACGAAAGCGUGGGGAGCAAACAGGAUUAGAUACCCGUGUAGUCCCUGUCUCUUAUAC
rnacentral:rRNA from 1 species